UACGAGGGGUGCAAGCGUUGCUCGGAUUUAUUGGGCGUAAAGGGUUGGUAGGUGGUCUCGUUUGUCUGUGGUGAAAUCCCCAAGCUUAACUUGGGACGUGCCGCGGAAACGGCGAGACUGGAGUACUGGAGAGGGUUGCAGAAUUCCCGGUGUAGCGGUGAAAUGCGUAGAGAUCGGGAGGAAUACCAGAGGCGAAGGCGGCAACCUGGACAGUUACUGACACUCAACAACGAAAGCGUGGGGAGCAAACAGG
rnacentral:rRNA from 1 species